CCCUUGGGUCUUGGUCUUCUGAAGUUAUUAUUCCUUUUUCUCCUGAGUUGUUUUACUCUUCUGGUCAAAAGGGAUAACUCUUCUUCAUUGUUAGGGUCUUCCUUUUCAGAGUCGUCAUUGUCUUCCUCUUCAGCUUGGAAGGCUUAGUUCCUUUCUGGUUUGUAUCUUUUAGAUCUGGACUUUAGUGCUACAUACUUGAUC
rnacentral:lncRNA from 1 species